rnacentral:rRNA from 1 species
CGUUAGCGGCGGACGGGUGAGUAACACGUGGGUAACCUACCUAUAAGACUGGGAUAACUUCGGGAAACCGGAGCUAAUACCGGAUAAUAUUUCGAACCGCAUGGUUCGAUAGUGAAAGGUGGUUUUGCUAUCACUUAUAGAUGGACCCGCGCCGUAUUAGCUAGUUGGUAAGGUAACGGCUUACCAAGGCGACGAUACGUAGCCGACCUGAGAGGGUGAUCGGCCACACUGGAACUGAGACACGGUCCAGACUCCUACGGGAGGCAGCAGGC